UUUUAAUUUUUUUUUUUUUUUUUUUUUUUUUAUAAAAAAGAGAAGAAAA
rnacentral:ribozyme from 1 species